CGAGAUCAUGCCAUUGCACUCCAGUCUGGGCAACAAGAGUGAAACUCCGUCUCAAAAAAAAAAAAAGGAAUGGAUGCUAUCCAUCACCUCAUCUCGUGCGGCCCUUUCCUGGCUGCCUUACAGGAAGAGUGAAUUUGGGGCAGCACGUUGUCUUUAUCCUUUCCUCUUUCUUCUUUUCACCAGUCCUCCAGCGGUUGUGGGGCACCCAGGAUGUAUCCCAAGACAUCCAGGAGAUGAAAGAUGAGAGUGCAAGGAUGUCACAAGAAAAGCAAGUCACCGUGCUGGAGCUCUUUAGAGUGUCCAGCUACCGACAGCCCAUCAUCAUUUCCAUUGUGCUGCAGCUCUCUCAGCAGCUCUCUGGGAUCAAUGCUGUGUUCUAUUACUCAACAGGAAUCUUCAAGGAUGCAGGUGUUCAAGAGCCCAUCUAUGCCACCAUCGGCGCGGGUGUGGUUAAUACUAUCUUCACUGUAGUUUCUCUAUUUCUGGUGGAAAGGGCAGGAAGAAGGACUCUGCAUAUGAUAGGCCUUGGAGGGAUGGCUUUUUGUUCCACGCUCAUGACUGUUUCUUUGUUAUUAAAGGAUAACUAUAAUGGGAUGAGCUUUGUCUGUAUUGGGGCUAUCUUGGUCUUUGUGGCCUUCUUUGAAAUUGGACCAGGCCCCAUUCCCUGGUUUAUUGUGGCCGAACUCUUCAGCCAGGGCCCCCGCCCAGCUGCGAUGGCAGUGGCCGGCUGCUCCAACUGGACCUCCAACUUCCUAGUCGGAUUGCUCUUCCCCUCCGCUGCUCACUAUUUAGGAGCCUACGUUUUUAUUAUCUUCACCGGCUUCCUCAUUACCUUCUUGGCCUUUACCUUCUUCAAAGUCCCUGAGACC
rnacentral:sRNA from 1 species